rnacentral:rRNA from 1 species
GAUGAACGCUGGCGGCGUGCCUAAUACAUGCAAGUCGAGCGGACCAAAGAGAGCUUGCUCUCUGAGGUUAGCGGCGGACGGGUGAGUAACACGUGGGUAACCUGCCUGUAAGACGGGGAUAACUUCGGGAAACCGAAGCUAAUACCGGAUGAUAAAGAGAAACGCCUGUUUCUUUUUUGAAAGUCGGCCUUGUGCUGACGCUUACAGAUGGGCCCGCGGCGCAUUAGCUAGUUGGUGAGGUAACGGCUCACCAAGGCGACGAUGCGUAGCCGACCUGGGAGGGGGAUCGGCCACACUGGGACUGAGACACGGCCCAGACUCCUACGGGAGGCAGCAGUAGGGAAUCUUCGGAAAUGGAGGAAAGUCUGACCGAGCAACGCCGCGGGAGCGAUGAAGGCCUUCGGGUCGUAAAGCUCUGUUGUCAGAGAAGAACAAGUACCGGAGUAACUGCCGGUACCUUGACGGUACCUGACCAGAAAGCCACGGCUAACUACGUGCCAGCAGCCGCCGUAA